AACGAACGCUGGCGGCAUGCCUAACACAUGCAAGUCGAACGAGACCUCCGGGUCUAGUGGCGCACGGGUGCGUAAGGCGUGGGAACCUUCCCUUAUGUUCGGAAUAACUCUCCGAAAGGGGUGCUAAUACCGGAUAAUGUCUUCUGACCAAAGAUUUAUCGCCUUUGGAUGGGCCCGCGUUGGAUUCGCUCGUUGGUAGGGUAAAAGCCUACCAAGGCGACGAUCCAUAGGUGGGCUGAGAGGAUGAUCAGCCACACUGCGACUAGGACACGGCCCAGACUCCUACGGGAGGCAGCAGUGGGGAAUAUUGGAAAAUGGGCGGAGGCCUGAUCCAGCAAGGCCGCGUGAGUGAUGAAGGCCUUAGGGUUGUAAAGCUCUUUUACCCGGGAUGAUAAUGACAGUACCGGGAGAAUAAGCUCCGGCUAACUCCGUG
rnacentral:rRNA from 1 species